GACGAACGCUGGCGGCGUGCCUAAUACAUGCCAGUAGAACGCUGAAGGAGGAGCUUGCUUCUCUGGAUGAGUUGCGAACGGGUGAGUAACGCGUAGGUAACCUACCUGGUAGCGGGGGAUAACUAUUGGAAACGAUAGCUAAUACCGCAUAAGAGUAGAUGUCGCAUGACAUUUGCUUAAAAGGUGCAAUUGCAUCACUACCAGAUGGACCUGCGUUGUAUUAGCUAGUUGGUGAGGUAACGGCUCACCAAGGCAACGAUACAUAGCCGACCUGAGAGGGUGAUCGGCCACACUGGGACUGAGACACGGCCCAGACUCCUACGGGAGGCAGCAGUAGGGAAUCUUCGGCAAUGGACGGAAGUCUGACCGAGCAACGCCGCGUGAGUGAAGAAGGUUUUCGGAUCGUAAAGCUCUGUUGUAAGAGAAGAACGAGUGUGAGAGUGGAAAGUUCACACUGUGACGGUAUCUUACCAGAAAGGGACGGCUAACUACGUG
rnacentral:rRNA from 1 species